rnacentral:snRNA from 1 species
GUGCUCGCCACGGCGGCGCAUAUACUAAAAUUGGAUCGAUACAGAGAAGAUUAGCAUGGCCCCUGCGAAAGGAUGACACGCAAAUCCAUGAAGCGCUCCAUCUUUUA